GACAGAGGGGGCAAGCGUUGCUCGGAAUCACUGGGCGUAAAGGGCGCGUAGGCGGGAUGGCAAGUCAGUCGUGAAAUCUCUCGGCUCAACCGAGAAACGUCGGCUGAUACUGCCGUUCUUGAGGGAUGCAGAGGAGACUGGAAUUCCCGGUGUAGCGGUGAAAUGCGUAGAUAUAGGAAGGAACACCAGUGGCGAAGGCGACCACCUGGACUGAUACUGACACUGAGGUGCGAAAGCGUGGGGAGCAAACAGG
rnacentral:rRNA from 1 species